rnacentral:rRNA from 1 species
GACGAACGCUGGCGGCGUGCCUAAUACAUGCAAGUAGGACGCAGUUGCGAACGGGUGAGUAACGCGUAGGUAACUGCCUAUUAGAGGGGGAUAACUAUUGGAAACGAUAGCUAAUACCGCAUACUAGUAGAUGUACCUGCGUUGUAUUAGCUAGUAUGUAGGGUAAUGGCCUAACUAGGCGACGAUACAUAGCCGAGGUGGGAGGGAGAUCGGCCAAACUGGGAAUGAGACAAGGGCCAGACUCCUACGGGAGGCAGCAGUAGGGAAACUUCGGCAAUGGGGGGAACCCUGAACGAGCAAAGCCGCGGGAGUGAAGAAGGUUUUCGGAGCGGAAAGCUCUGUUGUUAAGGAAGCGGUACUUAACCAGAAAGGGACGGCUAACUACGUGCCAGCCGCCGCGGUAAUUC